UGAAUAGGAACGUACCUAUAGGCGGGGGAGUAACCACGGGAAACGUGUGGCUAAUACCGCGUAACAUCGAAAGAUCAAAGAGGGCCUCUACUUGUAAGCUCUCACCUAUAGAGCGGCCUAUUUCUCAUUAGCUUGUUGGUAGGGUAAUGGCCUACCAAGGCGACGAUGGGUAGCUGGUCUGAGAGGAUGAUCAGCCACACUGGAACUGAGACACGGUCCAGACUCCUACGGGAGGCAGCAGUGGGGAAUAUUGCACAAUGGGCGAAAGCCUGAUGCAGCAACGCCACGUGAGUGAAGAAG
rnacentral:rRNA from 1 species